GAUGAACGCUGGCGGCGUGCCUAAUACAUGCAAGUCGAGCGAACAGACGAGGAGCUUGCUCCUCUGACGUUAGCGGCGGACGGGUGAGUAACACGUGGAUAACCUACCUAUAAGACUGGGAUAACUUCGGGAAACGGGAGCUAAUACCGGAUAAUAUAUUGAACCGCAUGGUUCAAUAGUGAAAGACGGUUUUGCUGUCACUUAUAGAUGGAUCCGCGCCGCAUUAGCUAGUUGGUAAGGUAACGGCUUACCAAGGCAAGGAUGCGUAGCCGACCUGAGAGGGGGAUCGCCCACAUGGGAACUGAGACACGGUCCAGACUCCUACGGGAGGAACCAGUAGGGAAUCUUCCGCAAUGGGCGAAAGCCUGACGGAGCACCGCCGCGUGAGUGAUGAAGGUCUCCGGAUCGUAAAAUUCUGUUAGUAUGGAAGAACAAAUGUGUAAGUAACUAUGCACGUCUUGACGGUACCUAAUCAGAAAGCCACGGCUAACUACGUG
rnacentral:rRNA from 1 species